rnacentral:rRNA from 1 species
CCUACGGGAGGCAGCAGUAGGGAAUCUUCCACAAUGGACGAAAGUCUGAUGGAGCAACGCCGCGUGAGCGAUGAAGGCCUUCGGGUCGUAAAGCUCUGUUGUUAGGGAAGAACAAGUACCGGAGUAACUGCCGGUACCUUGACGGUACCUAACCAGAAAGCCACGGCUAACUACGUGCCAGCAGCCGCGGUAAUACGUAGGUGGCAAGCGUUGUCCGGAAUUAUUGGGCGUAAAGCGCGCGCAGGCGGUCCUUUAAGUCUGAUGUGAAAGCCCACGGCUCAACCGUGGAGGGUCAUUGGAAACUGGGGGACUUGAGUGCAGAAGAGGAAAGCGGAAUUCCACGUGUAGCGGUGAAAUGCGUAGAGAUGUGGAGGAACACCAGUGGCGAAGGCGGCUUUCUGGUCUGUAACUGACGCUGAGGCGCGAAAGCGUGGGGGAGCAAACAGGAUUAGAUACCCUGGUAGUCCACGCCGUAAACGAUGGAGUGCUAAGUGUUAGGGGGUUUCCGCCCCUUUAGUGCUGCAGCUAACGCAUUAAGCACUCCGCCUGGGGAGUACGGCCGCAAGGCUGAAACUCAAAGGAAUUGACGGGGGCCCGCACAAGCGGUGGAGCAUGUGGUUUAAUUCGAAGCAACGCGAAGAACCUUAC